rnacentral:rRNA from 1 species
UACGAAGGGGGCUAGCGUUGCUCGGAAUCACUGGGCGUAAAGCGCACGUAGGCGGCUUCUUAAGUCAGGGGUGAAAUCCUGGAGCUCAACUCCAGAACUGCCUUUGAUACUGAGAAGCUUGAGUUCGGGAGAGGUGAGUGGAACUGCGAGUGUAGAGGUGAAAUUCGUAGAUAUUCGCAAGAACACCAGUGGCGAAGGCGGCUCACUGGCCCGAUACUGACGCUGAGGUGCGAAAGCGUGGGGAGCAAACAGGAUUAAGAAACCC